AACUUCUGGUUUUGCCAUAGCCUUUCAAACUUUUAUCUCAAAUCAAAAUAAUUCAGGUGCUUAUCAUGUUAUUAAUUCAGAUGUUGGAAUUGAAAGUAAUGGUGAUCUCCCUUUAGAAGUAGCCAAUGUGUUAAUAGAUUUACAUCAAAAUAUUAGUGAUCCUCAAUUUAUAAAUCUCAAAAAGGAAAACUGCUUCUCUUUUUCCAAAAUUAUUUAUAUCAAUAUGCUUAUCAAAAAGAUGAUAGAAUACACUAUCAUUGCAGAAAGGUUGGCUGCAAGGCUUCAUGUAAAUUUGAUGGAAUUUACACAACCUAUGGUUUGCAUGAACACCAAAAUGAAAUUGGUCAGUUUGAAAAACUGAAAACUCACAAGGUUCUAGAGGAUAUUGUUGCCGAAAAUCCUCUAGAGACAAGGCACAAUAUUUAUGAAAAGGCCUUGAAUAAAAGAUGCCUGGAAACGCCCUCCAUCGAAAUGUAUCCAGAGGCAAUGCCCUCAUUUGUUUCAAUUAAGAGUAUAAUUGACAGAUUGUUACAAAAAAAAUCGGCCCACUUUGACUCAGUCUGUGGAUGAACUAGUAUUAUUACUAGAAUACAUCACCACAAAUAAGGGGGAGAUUUUUUUAAUUAAUAAUGAUAAUAAUAUGCUUGUGUUUGGUACAUGUGAAAUGCUAAAACUUGUAGAAAUAUGUGAUGGUGAUAGCAUGACAGCAUCUUUUAUGUCGUUCCUCGACUGUACUGUCAAUUGUAUAGUAUCCAUAUAAUGUAUUAAGAAGUUAUGAUACCGAUUAUAUAUGCCCUCCUCCCCGAGAAAAAUAGAGGGACAUAUAUUGAAUUAUUUCAAAUUAUCUUGCAAUUUUGCUCGAUGAAAAAUAUCCGAUUCAAUCCUUGAUUUGGACAAACUGAUUACGAGGCCUCAGCUAUAUCGGCACUUAGGUUUGUUUUUCCCAAUAUGUCCAUAAAAGGCUGUUUUUUUCACUAAUCCCAGGCUCUUUAGCGUAAAUGUCAGGCGCUGGGUUUAGUUAGCGGUUAUUUGCAUAAUACUACCAUUCAUCAAGUUGUUAGACGAAUGACCACUUUGCCAUUUUGCAAAAAAGAACAUAUUUCUGAGGUACGGGCAUCAUGCCAUGCUCUGUCUGCUGAAUAUCCUUUGCUCAAAAAUUUUAUGGAGUAUAUGGAUUUUACAUAGCUUGGAGUUAAUGCCAUAUUCCCCCAAAAUAUAUGGACCAGGUAUCAAGUUGACGGCCCUAGAACAAACAACCACCUGGAGGGGUAUCAUCAUGCCCUCAAGAGAAAAACAAACGUGGCUCAUCCAAAUAUUUAUUGUCUGAUAAAUAUUUUAAAAAGACACAAACAUUCGAGUGAGCUUAAGGUCUUACAAAUCAAUAGUGGGUUGAACGUGAGGAGAAAAAAUAAAAAAUACGUUCAAUUAAAUAUUAACAUUGAUAAUCUAACUCGUAUAUACGAGCGUACAAAUGAAAUAUAUCCUUUUUUAGAUAAUGUUUCAUAUUUUAUAAAACAACAAUCAUAACCAGGGUUGCCAGGUCAAAAUUUUCAAAUUGUGGGAGAAAUUCGGUAUUUUGUGGGAGAAAUAUGGAAAUUGCUAAAAAAAAAAUUUGCGGGGGCCGGGAUUUAGAAUUGACUUAGUUAUCCGCUUAUUAUUUUUUAUAAAUAAAAAAUCGAAUCUAUUUUCCAAAAUAAAAUAGGUAAUUAUUUUUCAAAAUAAAAUAGCCAACUAUUUUUCAAAAUAAAAUAGCCAACUAUUUAAAAUAAAAUAGCCAACUAUUUUUCAAAAAUAAAAUAGCCAACUAUUUUUCAAAAUAAAAUAUCCAACUUUAUUUUUCAAAAUAGGUAAUUAUAGUACGACACAAAAUUUCUUAAAUACUAUCUUUAUUAUUAAAAUAACAUAUUGAUUUAUUAAAAUAUAUUAAUUUUGUUUAAAAAUAAAAACCAACGAUCUUUUUUAAAUACAAAAGAAUGUAAACAAGAUAAAAUUUUAUAAAAAAAUUGUAAUUUUACAAUGUAACAAAAUAUAUUUUAUGCUAAUGUAUAAAUAAGAUUUUAUAAAAAAACAAACAAUUUUAAAUUUACAAUGUAAAAAAUAAUUAUAAUCAGUGCGGGGAAGUUGUUCUACAGUAUUUAGUUAAUACAAUGGGGGAAGGGAAUAUGAUAUUUUGAGGCAUCAAAAAUCUUCAAAGCAUAAAUCAGUACAGGGCAGUCUAUCAACAUCUAUUGCAAAACAAAAAUAUUCUUCAAAAAUAAGAAAUAAUACAGAUGAAACUACAGUUGCGGAAAUGGUAAAUACAUAUCAUGCAGUACAACAUUCAGAGAACUACUUAACAUCACAAUGUUGGUAAAAUCUUUCCCCAUAAUAUUUAACGACUAAUAUAAAUGAAAAGUAUACUUUGUAGAACACAAAUGAGCAAGGCUAUCAUCAAUGUUUUAGGAUAUAAAUCCAGAAGGUCAAUUAUAUCAUAUUCCCCCCCCCCCAUUGUAGUAACUAAAUACUGCAGAACAUAUUCUACAUUUAGCAUGGCUAUCCGUAAGCCUCAUCAAAACAUAUUUUUGCUCCCAUAACUUGUUAUAUUCACAUAUAUAUUUUCAUCUUUUAUUCACUUUCUCGGAUUCUAUAGUAUAUAAAAUAUAAAAAGAUAAUCAAUUUUGUUAGGAUAUUUAAAGAAAAAUUAAUUAUCAAAGUGAUAUUUUAUUAAAAAAAUGAUUUAUAUGAACUAAAAACAUAUCC